rnacentral:lncRNA from 1 species
AUAAAGACUGCUGUGAUCCUUCAUCAUGUAAGUUAAAACCCUCAGCAGUAUGUGGCUCUGGAGAAUGCUGUACAGUACAGUGCAAGGUAAGUGUCAAUUUGUAGUUGAUAAUAAUUCAAUGUUCUUUACUUGAGGUAUGUGUGUUUUAAGGAGAUAGAAAACAUUGAUACCACAUUUGGCCUUUUUCUGUAUUAUAUUCAAAUACAAUUGGACCCAAUUGCAUACUUUAUUCCAUUUAGUAAUCUUUCGUUUCCUAUACUGUCAUAUGUCUGAUGUUUUUACUCUCCCAACUUGACUUCCCAUUUCUAUAGGCCAUUAUGAAUCUUCCUGUGAACCCUCUAAAUUUUUUCUAUAAUCACCAUGCCCGUAGCAAUUAUCUUAUACUCAUGUUUUUUAAAAAAUCAAAGUUACAUAGGAUUAUAAAGUUAGUGUUUUAUUGGACAAAUUUACUUCACUGUCUUCAGAUAAAAUAGUAUUUUCUUUUACAAUUCAUUCAGGUAUUAUUGCAAUAAUUCAUUGCUGCUUUAUUAACACUAUUUAAAGAAGUUCCAAAUCAUUUUCCACAUGUACCCAGCAUAGUUUACUGGGUUCUAAGAAAAAAAUUCUGAAUAAGGUAAAUAACAAAAUCCAUAGAUUAGAGAAAGUAUAUGAUUUUAAAAUUAAAUUAUUAUAUAAUUCAAAAGCUAGUUCAGGAAAAUGAUCUUAAAAAAUUGCAAUCCUUAACUUAUUAAGAGAGCAUCAGAAGAAGGGAAUGGAAUAAAAUAAAAUUAAAGGUAUAUGAAAUGAAGAUUACAAAGUACAUUUGCAAAUUAAACAUAAUAUCAACAUAAUGUAGUGAAUAUUAGAAUAGCUGUGGCUUAAAUUAUUGACAUAGAAGAGAAAGAAGACAUACCCAAAUAUAAGGAUUAGAUCAGAAUGAAAAGAGAAAAAAAUAGGUAGUGAUGAAAACAUGAUUUUUACAUUUCUUCUUUAUCUGUUUUUAAUUGCUUUAUUAUAAAUAUUAACUCAUAUAGUAUAAUUAUUCAAAUUAAUGUGAUUAACUGCAACAUUUUCAUACAUGCAUAUUUCAUGCUUUAAUCCUAACCAACCUUUCUACUAGUCUCUCUUGUUUUUCUCUUUUGCUACUUCCCCCUGAUCUUCUAUACCUUUCUUUAGUAGUCUCUCAUCUAUUUCAGGUUUAUUCACUUUUUUAAAAAAGUGUUGUAUACGAGGAAAUAUGCAAUACUUGUAUUUCUGAUAAAAUUGAAUCUGAUAAGGCUAGCAGAAAAAAAAAUAAGGCACAUUAUUCUAAUAUCAAUGGUAAACCUCCAUUGAGAAAAUGGAAGUGGGGCAGACAUGAAUGAAUGGUGGGAAUAUAGAAUUGACCAAUAGCAUCUUAUUUCCAAACCUGAUUGGACAAAGUCUGGACCAAUAGCAUUGGUACAUUUUUCAAACCCUAAUUAGCAUAACUUUGAGCCAAUCACAGUGACCCAAGGGCUAUAUAAGCCCUCUUGCCAGCCACACUUCGCAGAAGAUAACUGAAGACAGCGGAGCAGAAGAAGACGGCGGAGCAGAAGCCGGAGCCUGCGGAGCAGAAGCCGGAGCCGCAGGAGCUGAAGCCGCCCGGGCAGAAGCCGCCCGGGCAGAAGCCGGAGCCCCAAACAAUCCAGGACACUACAAUAACAGAACCAAUGGAUAGCGAAGUUGAUGAUAUGUCAGAGAAGGAGUUCAGAAGGUUCAUAAUUAAAAUGAUCUGUGAAUUAAAGAAUGACCUAAAUGAGCAAAUACAGGAACAAAUUGAUCACUCCAAUGAUGAAAUAAGAGCAAAUACAGGUAGCAAAAGAUUACUUCAAGAGAGAGAUACUCUGGGGAAAAAAAAAAAAAAGAACCAGUCAGAAAUCCUCGAAAUGAAGGACACAAUAAAUCCAAUAAAAAACUCAAUAUAAAGCAUUACCAACAGACUAGAUCACUUGGAAGAACAUCAGAUAAUGAAGACAAAGUAUACAAUCUGUAAAAUACAGUUGAUUACACAGUGAAGAUAGUUAGAAACCAUGAACUGAACAUCUAAAAGUUAUUAUGAUAGAGGAAGGCACAGAGUUUCAAACCAAAGGAAUGCACAAUCUCUUCAAUGAGAUCAUAUCAGAAAAUUUCCCAAGCAUGAAGAAUGAAUUAGAGAACCAAUUAUAAGAGGCUUAUAGGACAUCAAAUGUACAAAAUUACAACAGAUCUAUCAAGGCACAAUGAAAAUGCCUAGCAUACAGAAUAAGGAUAGAAUCUUAAAAGCCACAAAAGAGAGGAAUUAGAUCACAUAUAGGGAGAGACCAAUUGGUAUCUCAGCAGAUUUUUCAACCCAGACCCUCAGAGCCAGGAGAUCGUGGAACAACAUAUACCAAGCUCUGAAAGAAAAUGGGUGCCAACAACCAAGAAUCUUAUAUCGAGAAAAACGAAGCUUUAAAUUUGAUGAAAUAAAAACCUUCUAUGAUAAACAGAAGUUAAAAGAAUUUACAACUAGAAAUCCUGCACUACAGAACAUCCUCAGCAAAAUAUUCCAAGAAGAGGAAAUGAAAAACAAUGAUGAAAAUCAGCAGAGGGAGGGAUUACACUAAAGGAAAAUCUAAUCAGAGGAGAAACCAAGUCAUGUUAAAUACCAAAAAUAAACAGAAAUGGCUGGUAAUAUAAAUCAUGUCUCAAUAAUAAUCCUGAAUAAUAUUAAUGGCCUAAACUUACCAAUCAAAAGACAUAGACCUAACAAUAUGCUGCAAUGAAGAGACUCAUAGAAAAAGACAUCCAUAGACUGAAGUGAAGGGUUGGGAAAAAUCAUAUCACUCACAUGGACUGCAGAAGCAAGCAGGGGUUUCCAUCCUCAUAUAAAAUAAUAUAGACUUCAACCUAGAGUCAAUAAGAAAGUUUAAUGAAGGGCACUACAUACUGCUCAAGGGCCAUACAGCAACAAGACUUAACAAUUUAAAUAUAUAUGCCCCAAACUGUGGAGCAUCUAUGUUCAUUAAACAAACUCUUCUCAAGUUCAAGAGUCAAAUAGACCACAACACAAUAAUUUUGGGUGACUUUAACACACCUCUUUCAUCACUGGACAGUUAUUCCAAACAAAAGAAUAAAGAAACUAUAGAACUCAAUAAUACAAUCAAUAACUUAGACUUAACUGACAUAUAUAGAAUAUUUCAUCCUUCAAUGAGAAUACACUUUCUUAGCAGCACGUGGAUCCUUCUCUACAAUAGAUCAUGUACUAUGCAAUGGGUUACAGAAGACAUCAAUGAGUAGAUCAAAAAGUUUUUAGAGGUAAAUGAGAAUGCACAUAUGGCAUAUAGAAAUCUCUGGGACACUAUGAAAGCAAUUCUAAGAGGAAAGUUCAUUGCAUGGAGUUCAUUCCUUAAAAGAAGAGUCAACAAAUAAAUGACUUAACAUUAUAUCUAAGAGCCCUAGAAAAAGAAGAGAAAAUCUACACCAAAAGCAGCAGAAGACAGAAAAUAAUUAAAAUCAGAGCUGAAAUCAAUGAAAUUGAACAAAAGAAACAAUUGAAAAAAUUGUCAGAAAAAAAGUUGUUUCUUUGAAAAUAAAUAAAUAAAAUUGUUAACAUGCUAACAUGCUAACAAAGAGAAGGAAAGAGAAAACUAAAACAUGACCCUUAAACAUGCUAACAAAGAGAAGGAAAGAGAAAACUCAAAUCACAAACAUAUGCAAUAAAAAGGAAAUAUCAAAAAAGACACAACAGAAAUACAGAAGAUAAUUAGAAAUUAUUUUGAAAACUUGUACUCUAAUAAAAUAGAAAAUUUUGAAGGCAUCAACGAAUUUCUAGAGUCAUAUAAUUUGCCCAAAUUGAAUCAGGAUGAUAUACAGAAUUUAAACAGAUCAAUUUCAAGUGAUGAAAUAGCAGAUGCCAUUAAAGUCUACCAACCAAGAAAAGCCCUGGACCAGACAGAUACACAGCCAAGAUCUACAAGACCUUUAAAGAAGAAUUAAUACCAAUACUUUUCAAUUUAUUUCAGGAAAUAGAAAAAGAGGCAGCACUUCUGAAUUCAUUCUAUGAGGCCAAUAUCACUCUGAUUUCAAAAACCAGGCAAAGACACAUGAAAAAAAGAAGACUUCAAAUCAAUAUCUCUAAUGAACAUAGAUGCAAAAAUUCUCAAUAAAUUCUGGCAAAUUGAACACAAAAACAUAUCAAAAAGAUUGUGCACCACUAUAAUGUGGGAUUCACCCCAGGGAUGCAAGUUUGUUUCAACAUAUGGAAAUCAAUAAAUGAAAUUCAUCACAUUAAUAAACUUAACAAAUCAUAUGAUCAUCUCAAUAGAUGCAGAAAAAGCAUUUGACAAAAUGUUCAAAACACUAGAAAAACUAGGGUUAACAGAAAUAUCUCAACAUCAUAAAGGCUAUUUAUGUUAAGCCCCAGGCCAACAUAAUUAUAAAUGGAGAAAAAUUGAAGGCAUUUUCUCUAAAACCUGGAAAAAGUCAGGGAUGCCCUCUUUCACCACUUCCACUUAACAUAGUUCUUGAAACACUGGCCAGAGCAAUUAGAUGAAAGAAAUUAAAGGGAUAAACAUAAGAAAAGAAGAACUAAAAUUAGCACUAUUUGCUGAUGAUAUGGUUCUAUACCUAAAAUCAAUAAAUGGGAUGGACUCAAACUAAAAAGUUUCUUCUCAGCAAAAGAAACAAUCUGUGAGGUGAAUAGAGAGCCUACAUCUUUGGAGCAAAUUUUUAACCUCUCACACAUCAGAGCACUCUUCUCUAGGGUAUAUAAAGAAUUCAAAAAGCUAAACACCAAAACAACAAAUAAGCCAAUCAGUAAAUGGUUCAAGAACCUGAAGAGACAAUUCUCAGAAGAGGAUAUACAAUCAAUCAACAAAUACAUGAAAAAAUGUUCAUCAUCACUAGCAUUUGGAGCAAUGCAAAUCAAAACCACUCUUAGAUUUUGUCUCACUCCAGUCAGAAUGGCAGCUAUUGUGCAUACAAACAACAAGUGUUGGCUAGAAUGUGGGGAAAAAUGUACACUCAUACACUGCUGGUGGGACUGCAAAUUGGUGCAGCCAUAGUGGAAAGCAGUAUGGAGAUAUCUUGGAAAAUUUGGAAUGGAACCACCAUUUCACCCUGCUAACCCUAUCCUUGGUCUAUACCCAAAGGACUUUAAAACAGCAUACUACAGGGACACAGCCACACCAAUGUUCAUAGCAGCACAAUUCACAAUAGCUAGACUGUGGAGCCAAGAUGCCCUCCAAUAGNGCAGGAGCCGCCCGGGCAGGAGCCGCCCGGGCAGGAGCCGCCCGGGCAGGAGCCGCCCGGGCAGAAGCCGGAGCCGCCCGGGCAGGAGCCGCCCGGGCAGGAGCCGGAGCCGCCCGGGCAGGAGCCGGAGCCGCCCGGGCAGGAGCCGCAGCCGCCCGGGCAGAAGCCGGAGCCGCCCGGGCAGAAGCCGGAGCCGCCGCCGCCGCCCGGGCAGAAGCCGGAGCCGCCCGCCCGGGCAGAAGCAGCCCGGGCAGGAGCCGCCCGCCCGGGCAGAAGCAGCCCGGGCAGGAGCCGCCCGCCCGGGCAGAAGCAGCCCGGGCAGGAGCCGCCCGCCCGGGCAGANCAAGGUCACCACAAAAACUACACAAAUGCAUGGAAUACAUUUUUAAGUGAUGAAUGUGUCAUUAAAGAGAUUAGAGGAGAUAUUAAAAAUUCUUAGAAUUAAAUGAGACUAGAAAUGCAACAAAAGUGACAGAAAUUAUAAAAAAAAAUGAACUCAAAUUGUCCGUUUGCAGAUGAUGUGAACCUAUACCUAGAAGAAUUCUAGCAGGUAAAAAAAUUCAGUAAAGUAGUAGGAUAUAAAAUAAGGAUACAGCUUUUCUAUAUACCAAUAAUGAAUCUGAAAAAGAAGUCAGGAAAAUUAUCCAAGAAAAAAUGAUAAACAUAGGAAUAAAUGUAAUGAAAGAUAUAAAAGGCUUCUACAAGGAAAAUUACACAACAAUGAAAAAUGAAUAAAUGAAGAUACUAGAAGAUGAAAAAAAACUUCCAUGUUCACAUAUAGGCAAAGUUAACAUUGUUAUCAUGGCAAUUUUACUAAAAGUAAUCUACAGAUUCAAUGAAAUUUCUAUCAAUAUACCAAUGACAUUCUUCACAAAACUAGAAAAAGAAUAGCUUAAAAUUAAUAUGGAAGAAAAAAAAAACAAUCAGAAUAGCCACAUUGAUUCCAAGCAUGAAGAGCUAUGCUGGAGGAAUCACAGUACCAUUUUUAAAAUUAUACUACAGAGCUAUAGUAACAAAAAACACGUGGAACUGGCAUAAAAGACAUGUAGACCAACAGAAUAGAAGAUUCAGAGACAAGUACACAUGGAUACAAUCAUCCUUGACAAAUGUGCCCAAAACACAUGUUGGAGAAAAGAUAACCUUUAAAAAGAACACCUAGCAUAACACCUACUAUGUCCUCUCUAACAUGUAAUAGUUAGAAAUGUGUCUUUAUAUGACAUAUAUCUAGAAUAGAGACUGGCAUUUAGUAGGCCCUAAAAAAUAUCAAUAGGUGCUAUGGUUUAAAUAUGUUCUCCAAAGAUGAUAGGUUGAAAACUUUAUCCUUAAUGCAGCAGUUUUGCAAAGUGGGACCUUGAAGUGGUUAUUAGGUUUGGGCAGCUCUGACCUCAUAAAUAUAUUGAUUCCAUUAAUAAUCAGUGGGUUCCACACCCCAGCAGUGAGUUCCUAAUGAAAGAAUUGAGUUGAGCCUCCUCCUCUCCAUCUUCCCUCUCUUUCAUUAACACAUAUGCACACACCUGCCUCUUUCCCUUCCACAUUCCACCAUGGGAUGAUGCAGCAAGUAGGUCCCUUAGUCAUAAACUUUCUGGCCUCCUUCUAGAAAACAAAUAUAUUUUCCUUAUUAAUUAUCCAGUCAAUUAUAUACUGUAAUAACAAUACAAAGUAAACUGAGAUAAUGAGUAAAUGAAUGAGUGAAUUCCAUCAGCAUCGACAAUUCUACCAAGGGUAAUCUCCUGUCCUAACACUGGGUUAAAAGGAAAAUGAAUUGGAAAUUGAGAGGGAGUAGUGAUUUAAAAGGAAAUAUAUUUUAAUAUAUUAUUAUAUAUUAAUAACAAUAAUAAUAAUUAAUAAUAUAUUAAUAUAUUAUUUUAAAUAUAUUAUUCUUUAGGGGAAUAAUAACUAAAAUGUGUGUGGUGGUUCAUGAAAUAUAAUAUAUAUGUUUGUUUGUUUCAUUUUGUUUUUUAACUCAACUACAAAAUGUGACCCAGUUUCAAUGUAUAAGGAAACCAUUGACUUCUUCUAAAAUUUGGGAAAUUGUGGAUUUUAUUCAUAAGUGCUGAGAGUGUAUGUGUUUUGUGUGUGUCCUUUGAAAAUUUAUGUAAAAAAUGAUCCUGGGAAAACACAUUACCCUAUGUAAAAAAAAAAAUGAAAGGAGAUCCUUCUCAUCCUGCAAAAAAGUGAACUCAAAAUGGGUCAGAGACCUAGGAAUUUGAUGAGAAACUUUGCAAGUCCUAAAAGAAAACAUAGGGGAAACUCUCUAACAUAUAAGUGCAGACAAGGAUUUCCUGAACAGAAUUCCUAAAGUUCAGAAAAUAAUAUCAAGAGUCAAUAGAAGGUAUUGGUUUCAAAUUAAACACUUCUGUAGAGCAAAACAAGCAUGAAAAAAAAAGGCAUGAAAGGAAAGCUACUCUUCCAAAAGAGGAUUCAUACGUAGAACAUAUGAACACAACCCCUCCCCCAAACAAGCAAACAAACCCAAAUCACCCAAUCAAUGAAUGGACAUAGUAACUAAUAUAGACAUUUUCUAAAGAAGUGCAAAUGGCCAAGUGUAUGAAAAAAAAGUUCAACAUCAUUAGCCAUCAUGAAAAUGCUAAUCAAAACAACACUGAGAAUUCAUCUCACCCUGCUUAGAGUGUAAUCCUCAAGAAUUCAAGUCAGAAUUAAUGCUGGUGAGGAAGUAGGGGAAAGGAGUUUUUUUUUUUUUUUUUUUGUAGCCUGCUGGUGGAAAUCUAAAUUAGUACAGUACUAUGGUUGGGAUAUGUGGUGUCUCUAAAAGCUCAUGUGUGAAACACUGUAAGAAUGUUUACAGGGGAAAUGAUCAGGUUAUGGAAGCUUUAACCUAAUCAGUGCAUGAUUUUUAUGAAAAAAAAUCAAACUAGAAUCCAAACUCACUCAUGAACCUAUAUGUAGAAAUCCAAAAUGCAUAUUAACAAGGUAAAUAUGGGCUUAUUUCAAGAAUAUAAGUAUGAUUUAAUAUUUGAUAAUAAACCAGUGUUAUUUAUUAUAGUAAAAGAAAUAAGCUGGGUGCAGUGGCUUGGGAGGCUCAGGCAGGAGGAUUGCAAUUUCAGAGCAGGCUUGCAAUUUAUCAAGGCCCCAAGCAACUUAGCUGGUAUUUUAGUCAUCUUUUUUGCUGCUUUAAUUAAACUAUCUGAUAAGAAAAAGUUUAAGGCAAAAAAGUUUAUUUUGGGGCUCAUGGUUUGUUUCACAGCUCUCAGACCACAGACAUCUGGCUGCAUUCCCCAGGGGCUCCAGGUGAAGCUGAAUAUCAUGGUGGAAGAAUAUGGCCAGAACGAAGCAGCUCAUGUGAUCAGAAAGCAGAGAGAGAGAGGGAACUACUCUCCAAAUACAAAAUAUAUAUCCCAAAGGCAAUCCCCAGGGACUCUUCCCCCUCCACCACAUCCUACCCAGGCAUUAGUUAAUGCCAUCAGAGGAUUGAUUUACUAAUUGGGUUAAGGUUCCACAAUUUAGCUAUUGUGGAUUGAGCCAUUCUGACUGGAGUGAGAUGAAAUCUUAAAGUAGUUUUGAUUUGCAUUUCUCUAAUUGCUAGAGAUGUUGAACAUGUUUUCAUAUAUUUGUUGAUCAAUUGUAUGUCUUCUGAGAAGUAUCUGUUAAGUUUCCUAGCCCAUUUAUUGAUUGGGUUGUUUGGGGUUUUGUGUGUGUGUGUGUGUGUGUGUUAAGUUUUUUGAGUUCUUAUAUGUCCUGGAGAAUAUUGCUUUAUCUGAUGUGCAUGUGGUAAAAACUUGCUCCCCUUCUGUAGGUGUUCUAUUCACCUCACUGAUUGUUUCUUUUUUUGAGAAGAAGCUUUUCUGUUUAAAUCCAUACCACUUAUUGAUUCUUGGUUUUAUUUCUUUAGGAAUCUUUUUAAUUUUAUUUCUCUUUAGGACUCUUGUUAAGGAAGUAGGAGCCUAAUCUGACAUAAUCAAGAUGUGGGCCUACUCUUUCUUCUACUAGAUGCAGAGUCUCUGGUCUAAUUCAUAGGUCUUUGAUUCACUUUGAGUUGAGUUUUGUGCAUGGUGACAGAGGGGGGUUUAGUUUCAUUUUGCUGCAUGUAUAGUUUUAGUUUUCCUAGCACCAUUUGUUGAAGAGGCUAUCUUUUCUCCAAUAUAUGCUUUUGGCAACUUUGUCUACUAUAACUGUAUUUAUGUGGGUUUGUCUCUGUGUCUUCUAUUCUGUAUCAUUGGUCUACAAGUCUAUUUUGGUGCCAAUACCAUACCUUUUUGUUACUAUUGCUCUAUAGUAUAGUUUAAGUUCUGGUAUUGUGAUGCCACCUACUUCAGUUUUCUUGCUAAGGAUUGCUUUGGCUAUUCUGGGUUUGAUGAUUUUCAAAAUGAAUUUCAUGAUUGCUUUUGCUAUUUCUGUGAGGAAUGUCAUUGGGAUUUUGAUUGGAAUUGCAUUACAUCUGUACAGUGCUUUUGUUAGUAUGGUCAUAUUGACAAUAUUAAUUCUGCCUAUCCAAGAAUAGGGGAGAUUUUUUUCCAUCUUCUAAGGUCUUGUUUAAUUUCCUUCUUUAGCAUUCUGUAGUUUUCAUUGUAGAGGUCUCUCACCUCUUUUGUUGAUUCCCAAGUAUUUUAUUUUAUUUUUGAGGCUAUUGUAAAUGGAGUAGUUUUUCUAGUUUCUUUUUCAGAGGAUUUUCACUGAUGUACAGAAAUGCCUUUGAUUUAUGGGUGUUGAUUUUAUAUCCUGCUACUUUGCUGAAUCCAUUUGUUAGUUCUAGAAGUUUUGUGAUGGAAUUAUUUGGAUCCUCUAGGUAUAGAAUCAUAUCAUUGGCAAUACUGAUAGAUUGAGUUCUUCUUUUCCUAUCUGUAUCCCUUUAAUUUCUUUCAUCUGUCUAACUACUCUGGCUAGAGUUUCAAGAACUGUGUUAAAUAGGAGUGGUAAAAGAGGGCAUCCCUGUCUUGUUCCAGUUUUUAGAGGUGAUGCUUUCAAUUUUUUUUCCAUUUAGAAUGAUAUUGAUCGUGGGCUUAUCAUAGAUAGCUUUUACUAUGUUAAGAUGUGUUCCUGUUAGCCCUAGUUUAUCUAGUGUUUUGAACAUGAAGGUGUGCUGUAUUUUGUUGAAUGCUUUUUCUGCAUUUAUUGAGAUGAUCAUAUGAUUCUUACCUUUAAGGCUAUGCGAUGUGAUGAAUUAAUAUGCAUAUUACAGUUGUGUUGUACAUACUUUUUUUAUUUUUACAUUUUUUAUUUUUUUAUUUUUAUGUUUAUUUGUUUUUUGUACUCUCUCUAUUGUCUUCCCCAUACUUAUCUCCCCCAAAAUCUCUUUCUCUAUAUGUAAUCUGAUUCCUAUCUCUUGUGGCUUUUAAAAUUAUCUCCAUAUUCUGUAUGAUAGGCAUUUUCAUCAUAAUGUGACUUUAUGUAGAUCUAUUGUGAUUUUUGUACAUUUUGUGUCCUGUAAGACUCUUGUAUUUGAUUUCCACUUCAUUCUUUAUGUUUGGAAAAUUUCUGAUAUUAUUUCAUUGAUUUCAUUAUGAGUACAUGCAGUUCUACUUUUCUAUCACUAAACAUCUCAUAAUGUUAGUUGUUUACAUUAGAUAUGACUUGAAACAAAUUUAGUUUCUAUUUUAUCUAUCAUAGGAAAGUGUUUUAUUGAUUAUCAAUUUCUUUGUCAUUGCUGCAUCAAGUAGAAUUAUUUUUGACUGAAUAAAGUACAUUUUCCUGUGCCCAAGUAUACAUUUAAAAAAAUAUGUUUCGAGACUUGGUAAUAAACACAUUUCACAUUGGUCCCUAGAUCCAGUUGUGAAAAGGUACAUAGUUCAACUUAUGAUUUUUUUGACAGAUAAUGGUAGUUUCAUUAAUAUGUAAUCAAGAUGGUAGUGGGGGCAAUCAGAGGUUAUAAAUGAAUUUGCUCAUUCCUGGUCCAGUUACAGACGGAGAAAAAACUUUGACCAUGCAUUUAGACAAAACAUGUACAAUAGACAAAACAUGUACAAAGUGAGAGUCUUGGUAAGAAUAAAAUGUUUACCCCCCUCCCCACCCCCACAAUUAGAAGGAAAAAUGUCAUAAACAAAAAUAGUAUUUAAAAUUUUCCAGCAACAGCAAAUUGAUCAAGAGAGUCAAGGAAAGAAAUCCAACACACAUGUUUUUUUUUUUUUUUCUCUCUACUCAUUAAUCAUGGAGGUAGUAGGAAAUUUCAGCUUGGUUCAGACAGCAUUUGAGAAACUGAGUAUUCAUAGGUAUGAAAAAUAUGUUAGAAUAAAAGUAAAAUUUUCAUUAAUACAAAUUUGUAAAAGGAAGCAAGUUGUGAGAAAAUAGUGUUGAUACUUUCUUAUUAUACUUUUAUUCAUUUUAAAUUUUUUUCAUUGGUUUUGAGUUGAAUGUUAAUUCUGUAAGUUUGGGUGACACAAGUAGAUACUAUGUUUUCUAUUGUUGUCUAUCACUUGGAGAAUUUCAGUGAUAUUUGCUACAAAUAAUUUUCAAUGCUCAAGAAAAAGUACUGAGAAACCUAUUUUGGGGAGAUGAAUAUUAUAUCAGCUGGCCUCUGGGACCUUUGAAAACUAGAAAACUUACUUUGAAUAAGAUAAUGAUGAGGAAUUGGGGCUUAUAUUGAUGAGAAGACAGUUUCCAGAGUUGAUGAUUAAAUGUUUCUUUGCCCAAUCAAGCAUGCAGAAGGCAGCCCUGAAAUAGAUCAGCUAAAUCAUAAGCACUGAAUACUAACUGCAGAAAUUAUUUUCUUAGUUGUUAACAACAUGAUAUAUGAAAUAAACUUUGUGUUGUGUAUCCUCAAACUAUCUUAUUUUAAAAUCAAUAUUUUUCAAAAUAUUUAUGAUGUGUAUUACCAUUUCAUAAAUAUUUUCUGGUUUCUUAAGAUUGAUAAUACAGAGACUUCAGAAGCUGCCCAUAGCCAUAAUGGCUUACAAGGAAUUUUUGUAUUACUUUUUUAGCUCCUUCCUAUUUUAGCAGCCUGCUUAUCUUUGAGAUUCUAACAUCUCUUAGAAACAUUAUCCACUGUUUAUGUGCACAAGAAAUUCGUUAAUAUCUAUGUGAUGCUUUAGUAGAUAACAAGAGAUUUUCUUUUCUUUUUACUUUGCGGUGGGGGGUGGUGGUUAUUGAACCCAGGGGAGGUUUAAUCACUGUGCAGCAUCCCCAGCCCUUGAUAGGGCCUUUCUAAGUUGCUGAGGCUGGCUUUGAACUUGCAGUCUUCCUGCCUUAGCCUUCCAAGCCUCUGGGAUUACCAGCAUGUACCACCACUCAGGGUUGCAAUUUCCAUUUUUAAAAUUGCUUUUGACAAUUUAGGAAAAAUAUUGAAUGGGAAUUUAGAACCUAAAGAGAAAGAAAAUUAAGUAUCAUUGAUACUAUUCUUAUGAUUCUUUCCUCUCCUAGAUAAAACCAGCUAAUAUACUUUGUAGGAAAUCAUUUGAUUCUUUCUGUGAUUUCAAAGAAUUUUGUGAUGGGAAAAAUGCAUACUGUGUGGACAACACUUUUUCUCGCAACGGACAAGAGUGUGAUUCGGGUAGAGGCUACUGCUUUGAUGGAAUAUGUCGGUCUUUUGACAAACAGUGUCAAAAUUUAAUCGGAAGUGGUAAUGAACUUAAUUUUUUCUCAGUUCCUUAAAUAUUAUUAUUCCAAAAUCAAUUUUAUACUAUAAAAAGGUAAAAAUAAUUUGUUAAUGACUGAAAGUCCUGCCUAGUAUAUAUUUGUGUUAACCUCAUCAGACGUUAAUUCUUUCAAAAAUGUUUUUGCUUGCGAUAUCUAUAAGCAAAUGUAGAAAAAAUGAAAAGCAAUUUAUUCCUAAAAUACCUUGAUUGUUAGAUAAUGGAAAUUCUUUGAUCUGGUGUCUAUGCUUAGGGCCAGUUGUCAUCCAUAGUAACCUAAGUUAGUGUUCCUAAUUUGUUAACUUUCCAAGUCCCUUUAAACAUGUUUACCUACAAUAUUGGAAUCUCCCAGAUUUGUGGAUUUUUAUCCCAAUUUACUCUUUCUUAUAAUUUCCUAGUUUCAGAAAUCUUAUAUUUGGGAUUUAAAAAAAGAAGGAGAGGACAGUGCUCCUUUUAUUUUAGUUUCCUACCUAGCAGCCUUCAAAGAUUUUUAUAAAUCCAAGGAAUUAAUAGAUUAACUGCCUUGGGCAGUAAAUAAUAAAAUGAUGAUGAUGAUAAUGAUAAUAAUAAUAAUACAAUAAAAUUCAUAUAUCAAGAGCAAACUUUUUACAUCUCUUUGUGUCUUUGGAAUAUACUUUUGUAUGGCUCUCAUUUCUAGACCAUGGCUUAAAUUUCUGAUAGUUUCCACCUAACAUUAACACAAAGAUCUUCUGCAGAAAGGGUCCUUAAGUUUUGUGAAAUGGCAUCUC